AGAAGUUUAGGUUAAACAAACCGAGAGCCUUCAAAGCCCUAGACAAGAGCACUCACCCUCCUAACUUCUG
rnacentral:tRNA from 1 species